AUGGGUGCUCUCUGCGAUUACUGUGGGGAGCAUAGGUCCAUGGUUUACUGCCGAUCCGAUGCAGCUUCUUUGUGCUUGUCAUGCGAUCGCAAUGUGCAUUCAGCUAAUGCUCUUUCUCGGCGCCAUACAAGAACUCUUCUAUGUGAUCGGUGUGCUUCACAGCCUGCUAUGGUCCGCUGCCUAGAAGAGAACACCUCACUUUGCCAAAAUUGUGACUGGAAUGGGCAUAGUGCUGGAUCCUCUGCUGCUGGACACAAAAGACAGAAUAUAAACUGCUAUUCAGGGUGCCCAUCAUCUGCAGAGCUUUCAAGAAUGUGGUCAUUCAUUUUGGAUAUUCCUAAUGUGGCUCCUGAGCUGAAUUGUGAGCAAGUAAUAAGCAUGAUGAGCAUCAGUGACAGUGCUGUCAGUAAUGGAGACAACGCGCAAGGGGACAACAGUUUGGUAGAUAUGGCUUGCGCAACACUUGAUGAAGAAGACAAACAAAAGUCUGUGAUAGGAUCAUCUUCUGAAGCUGCUCUGAACCUUCUUCCACCUGCUAAUAAUCAGACAGCUGUAUCUGUGGAUUCGACGACAGCUAAGUAUACGCCAGACAAACAUAUGUUCAGCAAGGACAGCAUAUAUGAAGAUUUCUCUAUGGAUGAUAUUGAUCUGAGUUACGAAAAUUAUGAAGAACUAUUUGGUAACUCUCAUAUUCAGACUGAGGAACUCUUUGAUGAUGCUGGCAUUGACAGUUACUUUGAACCUAAAGAAGCGACUGCUGUGAAUUCUGAUGAGCAGCCCAAGCCAAAGCAGCCGGCUGCUAGCAAUGCGUUAUCUGCUGACUCUGGGAUGUCAAAUCCAGCAGUAAAAGAAGAUGAUUCCAGUCUUUGUAUUCCUGUGAGGCAAGCUAUUUCCUAUUCUGGCUUUACUGGUGAGAGCAUUCCUGAAGAAUACCAAGACUGUGGUGUAUCACCAAUGCUCCUUAUGGGCGAGCCUCCUUGGCUUCCUCCUGGCCCUGAUGGGUCAUUUGCUGGAAUUAGAGACAGUGCUAUCACACGGUACAAGGAGAAGAAGAAAAGAAGAAAGUUUGACCACAAGAUCAGGUAUGAAUCUCGCAAGGCUAGGGCGGAUGUGAGAAAGAGAGUCAAGGGACGGUUUGUUAAGGCCGGUGAAGCGUAUGACUAUGAUCCGCUCGACACAAGGAGCUACUGA
rnacentral:rRNA from 1 species